rnacentral:rRNA from 1 species
AUGGAAGCCAUGGAAGUAGAAAAUAGUGGGAAAAGAAGAAGGGGAUAUGGAGAAUCAUCUGUAAAAAGAGAAGGAGAAAGAGAGAGACCUACCAGAUCAGCUGGACAAUGGCCUCCAGAAAAAGAUGAUUAUCAACCUACAUCUAGCCCAGGACAAUAUAGAUAUAUGGGUACUAAAAGAAGAGAUUUUGAAAAACCAGUGCAAUUUCAGAAUUAUAAGAAUGAUGGCGCUAUAUUAAACCUAGCAGCUCAUGAUCCAAUAGAUUGGCCGAAUAUAAUCAGCAUAUGGAAAGGUUUAACAGUACAAAAAUAUAUACAAAAUCAGUAUAAUAUAGGCACUAAGGUAGAAGAUAUUUUAACAUAUCUUGAAACAUUUUUAGGAGAAUCUGUAAAAUUUCUAUGGGAACAAUGGGUAGAGUCAUACCCUAGUCAAUAUGAAGAAUUAAAAAGGGCAGGAAGUAACCCUAAUAACUUUGCGAAUGUUAUCUCAAAUAUGAUCAUAGCAGAAGAUCCAGAAUGA